rnacentral:lncRNA from 1 species
AUGCUCCUUUUAGAGAGAACAUCAAUGUGGCACCAAAAAGUGGAGCAUGGACUGGGAUCCUUGUUUAUAACUUGCUCAUCCAUUAAUUCCUCCAUUCACUGGCCAGAUCUACUUUUCUGGAGGUCUGCAAGCAAAGACUGCAUAUCAACUAUUGGGAUUCAAAAUGCAGCAGUUUUAGCCACUUUCAGGAUGCCCUCAGAUCUUAAUACUUCAGUAUCUCCUCUUGCAGACAGUCCUCCAUCACAAGACUGGACUCCCAACAUCCAGAAGCUUCUGGAAAUUUCUCCCGUCUUCACCACUUGCAAGGAAAGAAAUCUUUCAUUACUAUGGGAGGACUGUAAUUGGCAUGGCUUGGGGCUACUCCACACACUAAUUCUUGUUACCUGAAAAAUGAGCUUGUCCUUAGGGUGGAAGAACAAGGGCUUUUAUUAACACAUUCCAUUGGCUGGGUUUAUGAUGCUCUGCCUCACUCCCUCUUCC